CCUACUAUUUCUCAGUUUAAAUUGCAGAUAACAUGGUCGAUAAAAAUCAUGAAAUUAUUAAAUGAUCUCUUACUCUCAGAUGUUCUUCACUUUUUUUUUGAAAGAGAAACAAACCUCUUUAUUAAUGAUAAUAAAAAAGACUGAUGUUUGAAGUGUAAGAGAAUUAUACUAGGAGCAAAAAGGAGUGGAUGACUAAAAGAUGAAUAAAAAUAAAACAAUACAAACAAGCCAAACUAGAUCUCGAGCCAAAAGGGAGAAAAUACUACAAAGAAAAAGUAGUGUUUUUUCAAUUAGAAACCCAAAUUCAGCGGUAGACAUCCACACUAAUAGCUACAGAAUGAAAUGAGUGGAGACGACAAGAAAAGGCAAAUUCAGUGGUAGACUUCCACUCUCCAAUGGUGUUUAUGUUUCUACAUCGAGUUGUAACUUGGUGUCGACUGUCGAUAAGCAAACUUAUGAGUCACUUGAAUUGUAUACCAAGUCUUAUUCAAAUUUGUGUGAGUGACUUGAAUUGUAUAUCUAAGUCUAAUUCAAAUUUUUGCAAGUUAUAGGAGUUAGGUUUGGGAAAGGUGAUUGGGAUUACUAAGCAGCCGGGUGCCGGGUGACUCGUAUCUUUUACAAGAAAAACAUCUUCCAAUUUCGUCUUUCAACCUUAGGUGUGAUUCUUCAUCCAAUCUGAGUCCUCUUCCAGUUCUAGGUCUUUGUCCAGUGAAAAUCAAUUCACAUUAUGGUAUUUUUGCCUUGAUUGUCCAUUUUUUUGUAUCUUGGAAAGCUGAUUCCUCAUCUAUUCAUUCAUCAAUAAAAAAUCGAGUCGUUUUUAAUGUGAAAAUUUCCAACUGUCCAAACAUACCCAGAAUCCUUAUUGAAGUGUGCCCUACAAAUCUUCAAAACCUUUUGCAUUGAUCUACAGUGAUAUUUGAGGGCCUUCUUGAUGUUGGUCAUAACUUCUAUUGAUGACCAUUCUAGAUUAAUGUGGACAUACCUCAUGAAGGACAAAACCGAAACAUCAAGUGUUCUUUAAUUCAUUUUUCUUUUGAAACGGGGAAAAACUUCUUUAUUAAUAAUUUUUUUUAAAACGGAGACAAAAACUUCUUUACUAAUAAGAACUCAAGGUACAAGAGAUUUGAGAGCAAUAAAGAAGUAGUAAUCAAGAGAGUCUUAUAGGGAUCAGGAGGUGCACCCGGACAUCUCAACUAGGUUGACACCCCCUUAGCGCUAAAUACAAAAGAGUUAUACAAUAAGCGUAAUAGAAAAGCCUAGAGAGCGAUAAGCAAAGGGCAUCAGAAGGUACACCCGAGACAUUUCAACUAGGUUGGCACCCCCUUAGCACCAAAACAACAUAUCCCAAAAUAAAGCAAGAAUAAAAUUUAAGCCAAAUAAUGAAACAAAGUCUAGCUUAAUACAGAGGGUUGAGACAGAGAAAUAAAGGAAGAGAAAAAAAAGCUACAAAAAAAAAAAAGAAAAGAAAAGGAAGAGAAUAGAAGCAGAACAGUACAAAGAUUGAGCCUAAAACAAAACAGCUACUGUGAAAACAAAACAAAAUGAAAAUGUAAGCUAUGCUCCAAAGAAGCUUGCCGAAGAGGGGAAAUACGAAGCUGUAAAAGUGCAGACAAAGUCACCAAAACAAGAACUAGGCCUAGGGGACUGGUUGAGAGAGAAAGACUAACCAGUUGAGACAAAGAUCCUGAGUGGAGUAAUUCACAAACUCCUUGGUUCGAGAGCACCAAGCUGCUAAGUUUCGUUCUGGGAUAGAGAUAAGAUCAGGGCUUCCAACCGUGGACCUAAGCCUCUCUAUUCUACUCUUCCUUUCUUUUCCUCCAAUAUAAGUGCCACAAACUGCUUAAAUUGGUAUGAAAACCUCUGCCUUCUAUCUCCAGCUUAUCAAUCUGAGGGACGCUGGGUAACACUGAUCAGCAUAGGGUGGCUUAAUUGAUCUACCAAAGGAAUCUAUCACAAUGCACUCGCAUCUUAAUCAAUGACCAAUGUCCUCAAGAUGGACUUUGUAAGAACACGAGCGUUGUGUAGUUAGGACUUCACCUUCGAUUUCCUUUCUAGUGAGAGCAAGCAUUUCCACAUUAGGAAGCUCUGGGAGAAUAAUGCCUGUUGGUAUACAACAAAAGAUCUCCAACAAGAGAAUCUGAACGAACUGGUGUGAACUCAAAUAACAAAUGACAGUAACAAUCAGCUUCAUUGACUUUAUAGGUCAAAGAUGUUGCUCCCUUAAUGAGAACGAUCGUUCCAUCAAUCUUCUCUAGAUACCAACUAAAGAGGCUUGCUCCCACAUAACCACCAAAAUAUUUGCCUUGUUCAGAAUAAGUACCAAAUGACAAUUCUUUGACACGAACACCAGAAAUCAUUGGUAAGGCUGAGAUUACAGGUGAACUUGAAAUUGCAACUAAUCGCUUUCCACAUUUGCCAUCUACUUGUGUGAGAAGCCAAUACAAGGACAAAUAUGUCCCCACAUUAUCAAGAGAUGGAGUAUAUGUUAGCAUCCUUUCACAUAUGACAGCGUCUUCGCAAGAAUUCUACAAGUCCCCUAGUUCAGAUUCUUCCAGCUUAUGCCUUGUCCUGUACCAGAUAUACUGUCCAGCACCUUCAUGCCCACCAAAAUUCAACUUGAUUGGAACUACCUGUUGGCCCUCGCAGCAAUCUGUGUUCCAAGAAAAGAUCUUUGUGGGGCUGGAUGAGAGAAAUUAAGACUAAGCUGUCUCUUUAAACCAAGAUGAUGCCGCAUUCGAUGCCGCAGUUGUUGACGAAGGACAGCAGAUCCUUAGGCAAUUCCGAGGGGACUUUGAUUAGAAGGGGGACAGCUCCAUCAAAUAAGGCAGUAAGGUCAGCCCCUUCAAUUUCUGCAUUACUCUUGUGAUCAAAGCCAUUAAGGAAACCGAUAGACUCCUCAUUGCUGAUGCUGAAAGGUAAAUCCAAAGCCUUGGUGGAUAGCUUCUCAGAACGCCUGAUUCUUCUUUGAGAAGUCUGGUAGUGGAAGAGUCGGAAAUAAGGAAGGAGAUGCAAAAGGUGCCUUUAGUUGAAGCUCGUGAUAAAGCCCAACCGUUUCUUUUAGAUGAUCAUUUAAGGGGGAAUUUGAAGAGAGGGAAUAUAGGCGACCAAGGCUUUAAUUCUGCAAAAUUUUUUUUGAUCCUAAUAGUCAACGUUUUGGCCCAAUCAAGAAGUUCCCCGUGAGACCCGUGUCUGGAAUAGAAGGGUCAUUUUGACUAAGUGUAAAGAAGAGGCGUUUUGAGAAGAAGUAUGUGUUUUAAGGCUGGCAUUGAAGUGAGGCGACGCAUUGAGGGAACACACGUUCAAUGCAAAUAAUUAGGCGUUUUGAAGUUCAAUGCAAGAUAAAGUUAGGCGAGGAAGCAUCUAAUCUUGAUUUGACAGCUGUUUAUGUUUAAAAUUAAGGUUAAACAUGGUUUGAAAACAUGAAUAAGCUUACACAUGUAUUACUUCAAGUAGGAGCUGAAAAGCUUAGGGAAAAUUAAGGCUGACUAAUCUAAUUUUGGAAUAGUACAAAAAGGGGUGGAAUCCGGUAGAAAAGAGGUGAUGCUGAAAAUCUUAAAGUUACUCUACUGAAAAGAAGCUAGGCGAGGUGAAGGUUUUGGGGGACCAGGCCUUCUGAAGAAGGGAUUAGUUAAUGAGUGAUUUUCUAAAAUUGUUUAAAGAUUUUAAAGCUUUCUUCUAGUUCCUUGUUGACUUGUAAUGUUGUUUCAUAUGUUAAUGUUUAUAAAAGAAAGAAUUUCUAAAGAAA